rnacentral:rRNA from 1 species
ACCCGCUGAACUUAAGCAUAUCAAUAAGCGGAGGAAAAGAAACUAACAAGGAUUCCCCUAGUAACUGCGAGUGAAGCGGGAAAAGCUCAAAUUUAAAAUCUGGCGGUUCUGCCGUCCGAGUUGUAGUCUGGAGAAGCGUUUUCCGUGCUGGACCGUGUAAAAGUCUCUUGGAACAGAGCAUCAUAGAGGGUGAGAAUCCCGUCUUUGACACGGACUACCAGUGCUUUGUGAUGCGCUCUCGAAGAGUCGCGUUGUUUGGGAAUGCAGCGCAAAAUGGGUGGUAUAUUCCAUCUAAAGCUAAAUAUUGGCGAGAGACCGAUAGCGAACAAGUACCGUGAGGGAAAGAUGAAAAGCACUUUGGAAAGAGAGUUAAACAGUACGUGAAAUUGUUGAAAGGGAAACGCUUGAAGUCAGUCGUGUCUGCUGGGACUCAGCCUUGCAUUUUUGCUUGGUGUAUUUCCUAGUUGACAGGCCAGCAUCGAUUUUGACCGUUGGAUAAAGUUCGAGGGAAUGUGGCACCUCCGGGUGUGUUAUAGCCCUUGUCCGCAUGCAACGGUUGGGAUCGAGGUUCGCAGCACGCCUUUAUGGCCGGGGUUCGCCCACGUACGUGCUUAGGAUGCUGGCGUAAUGGCUUU